UUCAGUAAACUUCAGUAAUACGUACCUUAAAUAUAUGUACAUAUUUACUAGAUGAACUUGAACACACAGUAACCAAUCAAUAACUGUAGACAGAAUCUUAGAUACUAAAGAAACACAUUAUUAAUUUUCGCCACCGAUUUUGAAAAUUCUGAUUAAUUUUCCCUCAACGAUACAUACCUAUUAAAGGGAAAUCAAAAACGUACUUAUUUAAUUUGAAACCCAGCAGGUUCCAUAAUACAUCGAAUCGAGAUGGAUCUCACACUAAGAAAGACGUUUGAAUGUCCAAAGUGCUGCAAAAAGUUCAAUUUCAUGUCGCAACUUACUAAGCAUCUCUUCACACACGAUCCCGACGCCAAAGUGAAAUGCAAUAUAUGCUUGAAAAUUUCGAAACACCCAGCCGCCUUGCAUCAGCACAUGUGGAGUAUUCACAGUAACCGGAAACGCCCCAGUUGCGACAUUUGUCGCAGGGAAUUUCAUAACUCCGUCGCUUUACGGGGACACUGAAGCCAUCCACAGCACGACUGAACGACCCCGGUUUCCAUGUGGAUUUCCCGGCUCUCAAAAACCUGUUCACCAGGAUUGAACUAUUCGAUUUAAUCAGUUUUUAAAAUUUGCAUGACCCCCUACAUGUAAUGGCAUGGGAGACAGCACUACCUUUUUCGAUAAAACUUGUCAACUUUCUCCCUUCGUUGUAAAGCAACCAAAAGGCCCACUGCGGGCAAACUUCGCAUGGACAAUCCCCAGGGCAUGCUUUUGGGUCGUUCGGAAGCGCCAGGCCCUAUUCGUACUCUAUGACCUUGAAAUGACAUGAGGUCAACUUACAAAGUUGACUCGUUCAUAACUAUUCUUUAAAUCGCUACUAUUUCUUCAAUCGUGGACAGAUUUUCUUCAUAUUUGGUACAAACUGAUCUGAAUGGAUUGUAUUAUCAUAUUCGUCAAAAAUUUUGAACUUUUUCCAAGGUCAAAAAAUUUUGCGCACUAACGGAAAAGGUUAGUAGGUCAAGUCUCACAUAACCCCAUAAGUGGGGUAUCGUUGGAAAGGUCUUGGCGGGAGGAUUCAGAAUAUAUCAGAUGCAUAUGAAACCUUAUUAAACCUUAAACCUUAUUCUGAAAAUAUGCAUCAUAUUUUCAGAAUAAGGUCGGUUUAGCUGAUCAUGGGAAACGUCACUUUUCUGGAAAGCAUGGAUGUUACUUUUGUGGGAAGGAAUUUUUCAUCUUCAAAGAAUUGGUUAGGCAUUGCAAUCGAGUUCAUAUUCUCGAAAAGUGAGGAGAUAGCAAAUCUGUUAAAUUUUUUUGGAAAUCUGCAUCAGUGACAUCGUAGGUUUUGUAUAUUUUAAUCGAAUAUUUUUUUGGUUGCAAAUUUAUUUCCCCAUCUUUUAACAUUUUAGAAAAUUUCAACAGAAUAA